UACAGAGGGGGCAAGCGCUGUUCGGAAUUACUGGGCGUAAAGGGCGCGUAGGCGGCCACCGCAAGUCGACUGUGAAAUCUCCGGGCUUAACCCGGAAAGGUCAGCCGAUACUGCGGGGCUAGAGUGCAGAAGGGGCAACUGGAAUUCUCGGUGUAGCGGUGAAAUGCGUAGAUAUCGAGAGGAACACCUGCGGCGAAGGCGGGUUGCUGGGCUGACACUGACGCUGAUGCGCGAAAGCUAGGGGAGCGAACGGG
rnacentral:rRNA from 1 species